AGGACGAACGCUGGCGGCGUGCUUAACACAAUGCAAGUCGAACGGGAACAUCAAAAUAGUUUACUAAUUUGAGUUUUAGUGGCGGACGGGUGAGUAACACGUGGGCAACCUGCCUUAGUAGAGGGGGAUAACAGCGAGAAAUCGUUGCUAAUACCGCAUAAAGUUAUUAUUUCGCAUGAAGUAAUAAUGAAAGGAAUAAUCCGCUAUACGAGGGGGCCCGCGCCUGAUUAGCUAGUUGGUGGGGUAAAAGCUUACCAAGGCGACGAUCAGUAGCCGAUCUGAGAGGAUGACCCGGCCACACUGGAACUGAGACACGGUCCAGACUCCUACGGGAGGCAGCAGUGGGGAAUAUUGCACAAUGGAGGGAACUCUGAUGCAGCAACGCCGCGUGGAGGAAGAAGGUUUUCGGAUUGUAAACUCCUGUCAUUUGGGACGAUAAUGACGGUACCAAAGGAGGAAGCCACGGCUAACUACGUG
rnacentral:rRNA from 1 species